GGCCUCUUGGUCUAGUGGUAUGAUUGUCGCUUCGGGUUCUCCCAGCAGAGGUUCACUCUUGCUCGUCUGUGACAGGCCCCGGGUUCGAAUCCCGGAGAGGCCC